CUAUCAUCAGAACAACAAUGGGGCAGGAGGGCCCCACGUGUUGAAGAAGAGGGUGAGACUGUGGUUACGUGGUUCAGAUGAAGACCAGAUGUGCAUGUCAUGUGGUGACAGACAGCUUGACUAUGUGUAAAUGGUGAGAGUCGCAGCGGACUGGUUUUUCCUGUGGAUAUGAUUCCUGACUCCUCCUGCCUGCAGGUUGUGAAGGAAGUACCGGGCAGUGUUUGUACAGCCCAAGCCUCCUCGUCCCCAGUCGAUGGACCGAUCGACACGUUCUUCGUCGGUGG